ACGAACUCCUACGGGAGGCAGCAGUGAGGGAUAUUGGGCAAUGGGGGAAACCCUGACCCAGCAACGCCGCGUGAGGGAUGACGGUUUUCGGAUUGUAAACCUCUGUCCUCUGUGAAGAUAGUGACGGUAGCAGAGGAGGAAGCUCCGGCUAACUACGUGC
rnacentral:rRNA from 1 species